rfam:Burkholderia xenovorans LB400 chromosome 1, complete sequence.
UUCUAUGGGCGGGUCGUGGUGAGGGAGCCGAAAGGCUCGCCGGUUUCGUAUUUCGCCCGGUCCGUCAACCUUGCUACGUGCCCGCUCACCCAU